rnacentral:tRNA from 1 species
GGGAAAGUAGCUCAGUGGUAGAGCGCUUGCCUUGCAUGCAUGAGACCCUGGGUUCGAUUCCUCAGCACCA